CCUACGGGAGGCAGCAGUGGGGAAUAUUGGACAAUGGGCGAAAGCCUGAUCCAGCCAUGCCGCGUGUGUGAAGAAGGCCUUCGGGUUGUAAAGCACUUUCAGUGGGGAAGAAAGCCUUGGGGCUAAUACCCUCGAGGAAGGACAUCACCCACAGAAGAAGCACCGGCUAACUCCGUGCCAGCAGCCGCGGUAAUACGGAGGGUGCGAGCGUUAAUCGGAAUUACUGGGCGUAAAGCGCGCGUAGGCGGUCUGAUAAGCCGGUUGUGAAAGCCCCGGGCUCAACCUGGGAACGGCAUCCGGAACUGUCAGGCUAGAGUGCAGGAGAGGAAGGUAGAAUUCCCGGUGUAGCGGUGAAAUGCGUAGAGAUCGGGAGGAAUACCAGUGGCGAAGGCGGCCUUCUGGACUGACACUUACGCUGAGGUGCGAAAGCGUGGGUAGCAAACAGGAUUAGAUACCCCUGUAGUC
rnacentral:rRNA from 1 species